rnacentral:rRNA from 1 species
AGAGUUUGAUCAUGGCUCAGAACGUACGCUGGCGGCACGCCUAACACAUGCAAGUCGAACGAAGUAGCAAUACUUAGUGGCAGACGGGUGAGUAACAUGUAGGUAUCUACCCUUUGGCCUGGAAUAACACGAGGAAACUUGUGCUAAUACUGGAUAAGUCUUUACGGAGAAAGCUUUAUGCACCAUUGGAUGAGCCUGCACUUGAUUAGUUUGUUGGUGGGGUAAUGGCCUACCAAGACUGUGAUCAAUAGCUGAUUUGAGAGGAUGAUCAGCCACAUUGGGACUGAGACACGGCCCAAACUCCUACGGGAGGCAGCAGUGGGGAAUCUUGCACAAUGGAGGAAACUCUGAUGCAGCGAUGCCGCGUGAGUGAAGAAGGCCUUUGGGUUGUAAAGCUCUUUCGUCGGGGAAGAAAAUGACUGUACCCGAAUAAGAAGGUCCGGCUAACUUCGUGCCAGCAGCCGCGGUAAUACGAAGGGACCUAGCGUAGUUCGGAAUUACUGGGCUUAAAGAGUUCGUAGGUGGUUGAAAAAGUCGGUGGUGAAAUCCCAGAGCUUAACUCUGGAACUGCCAUCAAAACUUUUUAGCUAGAGUGUGAUAGAGGAAAGCAGAAUUUCCAGUGUAGAGGUGAAAUUCGUAGAUAUUAGAAAGAAUACCAAUUGCGAAGGCAGCUUUCUGGAUCAUUACUGACACUGAGGAACGAAAGCAUGGGUAGCGAAGAGGAUUAGAUACCCUCGUAGUCCAUGCCGUAAACGAUGUGUGUUAGACGUUGGAAAUUUAUUUUCAGUGUCGCAGCGAAAGCGAUAAACACACCGCCUGGGGAGUACGACCGCAAGGUUAAAACUCAAAUGAAUUGACGGGGACCCGCACAAGUAGUGGAGCAUGUGGUUUAAUUCGAAGAUACGCGCAGAACCUUACCAACACUUGACAUGUUCGUCGCGACUUUAAGAGAUUAAAGUUUUCGGUUCGGCCGGACGAAACACAGGUGCUGCAUGGCUGUCGUCAGCUCGUGUCGUGAGAUGUUGGGUUAAGUCCCGCAACGAGCGCAACCCUCACUUUUAGUUGCCAUCAUUUAGUUGGGCACUCUGAAAGAACUGCCAGUGAUAAGCUGGAGGAAGGUGGGGAUGACGUCAAGUCCUCAUGGCCCUUACGUGUUGGGCUACACACGUGCUACAAUGGUAUCUACAACAGGAAGCAAGACGGCGACGUUAAGCAAAUCCUUAAAAGAUACCUCAGUUCGGAUUGCACUCUGCAACUCGAGUGCAUGAGGCUGGAAUUACUAGUAAUCGUGGAUCAGCGUGCCACGGUGAAUGCGUUCCCGGGUCUUGUAGA